rnacentral:sRNA from 1 species
GCUGGGCAUGGUGGUGCACGCCUGUUAUCCAAGCAGCUAGGGAGGCUGAGACAGAAGGAUUGCAAGUUCAAAGCCAGCCUCAGCAAUGGCAAGGCACUAAGCAACUCAGUGAGACCCUGUCUCUA